UCCUCAUUAGUACAGUGGUGAGUAUCCCCGCCUGUCGUGUGGGAGGCCAGGGUUUGAUUCCCUGAUGGGGAG